CCUACGGGUGGCAGCAGUGGGGAAUAUUGGACAAUGGGCGAAAGCCUGAUCCAGCCAUGCCGCGUGUGUGAAGAAGGCCUUCGGGUUGUAAAGCACUUUCAGUGGGGAAGAAAGCCUUGGGGCUAAUACCCUCGAGGAAGGACAUCACCCACAGAAGAAGCACCGGCUAACUCCGUGCCAGCAGCCGCGGUAAUACGGAGGGUGCGAGCGUUAAUCGGAAUUACUGGGCGUAAAGCGCGCGUAGGCGGUCUGAUAAGCCGGUUGUGAAAGCCCCGCGCUCAACCUGGGAACGGCAUCCGGAACUGUCAGGCUAGAGUGCAGGAGAGGAAGGUAGAAUUCCCGGUGUAGCGGUGAAAUGCGUAGAGAUCGGGAGGAAUACCAGUGGCGAAGGCGGCCUUCUGGACUGACACUGACGCUGAGGUGCGAAAGCGUGGGUAGCAAACAGGAUUAGAUACCCGUGUAGUC
rnacentral:rRNA from 1 species